UCACGCAGUACAGUUAAGGCAACACAUGAAAAAAAUAUGGUAAUGAGGUCAUAAUGAGGUCUGACGUCAUGACAGUUGCUCCGCCCUGAUUGAUCCAUAUAAGGAAAUAGAGCUCAAAAUAAGUAUUUACCGAUGUUUGCAAGAAUCUGUAAUAAACGACAAUAUUUUCAUGUUUAAAUAGAAAAUAAUUAGUGAUUUUCUCGUAUAUUAAACAGCAUGUCUUUAAAAUAAUUCUCUUUUUUAUGUGUCGUUUGGCUGCAUUCGGCUUCAGCCAAGCGCUUGCACUCGAUGACACGGAAUGUUGUUUACAUCUUAAAACGUGGCGACAUCAGCUGAGAUUUGCAGUGGUUUUACAUGCAUUAACCAGACAAUCUUUAAAGAAAAUAGGGAUAAAAUAAGAGACAAGGCAUUGUUUACCCCUUUUACGAGAAUAUGAGGACAAAAUUGCGGAAAAUAAUGGAAAACUGAGACGGUCUGCACCAGCUCCGUAGAUCCAUCACUGUAAUUUCAGGCCAGCUGUCAAGAGUUUUCAGGCUUAAAGAAUGAAUAAAUAAAAAAUGCAUCAAUUUCUCCAUAGGGCCUAGUCAUUCCCCCAAAAAUUGGAACAAUGGAUUCAUUCAAGCAGCAAGUUUAAGGAAAAUGAAUCCAUUUUGUCCACAUGAACAUGAAGUGAUGGAAAUAAUUUGCACCUGCCCAGUUUUCCUACAGUCUGUCUUUGGAUUUGGAAAAAAAUGUUUAUUAAAAAAAUUUUCUAGAUAAAUAAUAA